UACGAAGGGUGCAAGCGUUACUCGGAAUUACUGGGCGUAAAGCGUGCGUAGGUGGUUUGUUAAGUCUGGUGUGAAAUCCCCGGGCUCAACCUGGGAAUGGCAUUGGAUACUGGCAGGCUAGAGUGCGGUAGAGGGUGGUGGAAUUCCCGGUGUAGCAGUGAAAUGCGUAGAGAUCGGGAGGAACAUCUGUGGCGAAGGCGGCCACCUGGACCAUAACUGACGCUGAGGCGCGAAAGCUAGGGGAGCAAACAGG
rnacentral:rRNA from 1 species